rnacentral:lncRNA from 1 species
CGAGGGUAGCGAGGGUAGCGAGGGUAGCGAAGGUAGCGGAGGUAGCGAAGGUAGCGAAGGUAGCGAGGGUAGCGAAGGUAGCGAGGGUAGCGAAGGUAGCGAGGGUAGCGAAGGUAGCGAGGGUAGCGAGGGUAGCGAGGGUAGCGAGGGUAGCGAAGGUAGCGAAGGUAACGAGGGUAGCGAUCAAUCAAUCAAUCAAUCAAUCAAUCAAUCAACUGACACGGUGAAAUCUAAUCUAAGAGAUUAUGACUAACAUAUAAUGUGGUUAUAAUUAAAAUUGACUUAGAGAGAGCAUGUUGCUCGUACAUUUUGCGGUAACUCGUUCCACAUCACUUCCCCGCUAUAACUAAAAACUUCGUUUACUGUAGUUCGUUCGUGGUUUUGGCACAAAUAAGGUGUGUCCAGAGUUUCUCAAUUAUAUCCUGUGCUNNNNNNNNNNNNNNNNNNNNGGUAGCAAAGGUAGCGAGGGUAGCGAAGGUAGCGAAGGUAGCGAAGGUAGCGAAGGUAGCGAAGGUAGCGAAGGUAGCGAAGGUAGCGAAGGUAGCGAAGGUAGCGAGGGUAGCGAGGGUAGCGAAGGUAGCGAGGGUAGCGAGGGUAGCGAAGGUAGCGAGGGUAGCGAAGGUAGCGAGGGUAGCGAAGGUAGGGAGGGUGGCGUAGGUAGGGAGGGUAGCG